rnacentral:rRNA from 1 species
GGCCGCGAAUUCGCCCUUAGAGUUUGAUUAUGGCUCAGGAUGAACGCUGGCGGCAUGCCUAAUACAUGCAAGUCAAACGGGGUGCUUGCACCCAGUGGCGAACGGGUGAGUAACACGUAUCUAAUCUACCUACUAGAGAGGGAUAACAGUUGGAAACGACUGCUAAUACCGCAUAAUAUUUUCGGUGGCAUCACUGAAAAUUGAAAGAUCCGCUUGGAUCACUAGUAGAUGAGGAUGCGGCGUAUUAGCUUGUUGGUGGGGUAAUGGCCUACCAAGGCGAUGAUACGUAGCCGACCUGAGAGGGUGAUCGGCCACAUCGGGACUGAGACACGGCCCGAACUUCUACGGAAGGCAGCAGUAGGGAAUUUUUCACAAUGGACGAGAGUCUGAUGGAGCAAUGCCGCGUGAUUGAAGACGGUCUUCGGAUUGUAAAGAUCUGUUGUAAGGGAAGAACAGCUAAUAUAGGAAAUGAUAUUAGUUUGACGGUACUUUACCAGAAAGCCACGGCUAACUAUGUGCCAGCAGCCGCGGUAAUACAUAGGUGGCAAGCGUUAUCCGGAUUUAUUGGGCGUAAAGCGUGCGCA